rnacentral:tRNA from 1 species
GUGGCUGUAGCUCAGUUGGUUAGAGCGCCUGGUUGUGGCCCAGGAGGUCGGGGGUUCGAAUCCCCUCAGCCACCCCA